rnacentral:rRNA from 1 species
UACGUAGGUGGCAAGCGUUGUCCGGAUUUAUUGGGUUUAAAGGGUGCGUAGGCGGCCUUGUAAGUCAGUGGUGAAAUACUCCAGCUUAACUGGAGGGGUGCCAAUGAUACUGCAGGGCUUGAGUACAGAUGAGGUAGGCGGAAUUGACGGUGUAGCGGUGAAAUGCAUAGAUAUCGUCAAGAACACCGAUAGCGAAGGCAGCUUACUGGGCUGUAACUGACGCUGAGGCACGAAAGUGUGGGGAGCGAACAGG